rfam:Ixodes scapularis strain Wikel colony gcontig_1108379097680, whole genome shotgun sequence.
CCCUGGUUAGCUCAGUUGGUAGAGCGCUCCACUGGAAAUGGAGAGGUUCCGGGUUCGAUGCCCGGACCAGGCA